rnacentral:rRNA from 1 species
AGGACGAACGCUGGCGGCGCGCUUAACACAUGCAAGUCGAGCGAGAACCUUUCCUUCGGGAUUGGGGACAGCGGCGAACGGGUGAGUAACACGUGGGUAAUCUGCCCUUGACAUCGGGAUAGCCCGGGAAACCCGGAUUAAUACCGAAUAGCCUCCGGAGCCCUCGGGCGCCGGAGAAAAGGUAGCUUCGGCCUCUGGUCAAGGAUGAGCCCGCGGCGGAUUAGCUUGUUGGCGGGGUAAUGGCCCACCAAGGCGACGAUCCGUAGCUGGUCUGAGAGGACGAUCAGCCACACUGGGACUGAGACACGGCCCAGACUCCUACGGGAGCAGCAGUGGGGAAUCUUGGACAAUGGGCGAAAGCCUGAUCCAGCCAUGCCGCGUGAGUGAAGAAGGCCUUAGGGUUGUAAAGCUCUUUCAGCGGGAAGAUAAUGACGGUACCCGCAGAAGAAGCCCCGGCUAACUUCGUGCCAGCAGCCGC